AAAAAAAAAAUAUGGAGAUCACAACUUUCAAAUUUUAGUUGUAUCAUCACUUAGAGUAAUUAGAAGUCAUUGAUUUAUCACAAUAGUUUGCAUGUGAGUAAAACACCCAAUAACAAUAAUAUCAGUUCUGACUUGUGGGUCUUUAGGAUACUGAACUCUAGAGCCAUAAGUUUAAUUAACCACCAGCCUGUUGCUUUCAAAUUUCUUUCUUACUGUACUGUCUUGUUCUGUAAGGAGAAUUUUUUUUUUUUUUAAACUUCUCUGGGCCUGAAUUUUCUCAAUUAUUGAACAAAAGAUAAUGAACAACACUGCAGAAAUAUUUAGUGAUGGGAAAAAAUUGGUAAAAUACUGGGCAUUAUAAAGAAUCUGGAAAGAUUUUUUUUAAGCAGUAAAACAAGACAAUUGCAAAUUGUAUGGGUAAUUAUAUGUUUGAGUACAGCAUGAAGCUUCACUAUUAGAAUAUUGUUUUUGCUUGUGCUAAUAGGUUGUAUUGCAUCUUUUUUGUUGUUUUUUGUUUGUUUGUUUUUGUCUCUGGGCUCUGAAGAUUGAAGUGUACUAUUAAUUGCCAAGAAGGACGUAAUAGAGUAAGCUGAACAGCACGAGGACAGAAUGAUUGGCCCAAGAUCACAUAGUGGACAUCUCACGGACCCAGGCUGGUGUUUCUGUGAUCACACAAUCUGCUUUACCUAAAUUGUGCUUCUUAGGUGUAGAAGUGUAUUUAACUGCAGAUUUCCUUGUCUGCUGGUUGUAUUCACUACAUUGCUCUAAAAUGAGUUCAAAAAGAGUGGAAUAAUAAUUGUUGUGGUUAUUGGUUAGGUUAGGAUGGGGAUAUCAGAGAUGUAAUUUUAAGAUUGUAGCAAGAUUGUACAAAGACAAUAUGCUAAACAACUAAGACAACAGCUGUGUUUUACAUAUCCUGUGUUAGGAUGAACUCAGAUUAAUAUGAGCCUCAUCUUAGUUAAGGUACUCAAGUGGAGAAGGAAAGAAAGGCAGUUGUAAUUUGGUCAUCAAGUUUUAAGCUCUUGGGUAUUUGGGGAUUAUCAGGCAUAGUGUAGGUUUUACACUGUAUAAUUUCCUUAAAGAGGAGUCUACUUAUAAUCCUGUAUAUUAGUUUUUAAAUAGUGAUUGUCCCCAAAUUGUGUAAAUACGCAGGUUAUAGCUAUGUAAAAAUUAUGUUUGUGGAUAAAGAUUUAAAGAAUCCACAGAGAAGAUGUUAGGGUCGUGGAUUUGUGGGUAAAUUUAAUAUUUCCCUUUAUGUGGUAAUAUUGUUUUUAUAAUAAAUAAAAAUAGAGAAAAAACGAUUUCUCCUUUAUUGUUCAUCUUGUAAAGAUUUGCCACGAUCUCAGUUUCAGAAAGCCUUGUUUCAUAUCGAUGAGGUACAUUGUAAACAAUCGAAAUUCAAGAAGAUUUGGUUUGGUUUGUUUACUUCAAAUGUGUCCGUUAAAUUAGAAAUCAAGCUUAAGCUGGCAGAAGUACAGGGUCAUAUUUUCAAACUUAACUAUGAAUUUUAAUUGAAAAUAAAUGAUUGUCCAAAUCCCAGCAGGCUGUUUGCUGUAGUAUUUAGUGCACUGUCAAUGUUAACUAAAUAUCGAUGAAAAAGUGUUUAAUAAAUGUAGCUCUCCUCA